CCUACGGGACGCAGCAGUGAGGAAUAUUGGUCAAUGGCCGCAGGGCUGAACCAGCCAAGUCGCGUGAGGGAUGACGGUCCUAUGGAUUGUAAACCACUUUAGUAGAGAACGAAAAGGAGCUAUCGAAUAAAUAGCUCUGCUGACGGUACUCUAAGAAUAAGCACCGGCUAACUACGUGCCAGCAGCCGCGGUAAUACGUAGGGUGCGAGCGUUAAUCGGAAUUACUGGGCGUAAAGGGUGUGCAGGCGGCUGAGUAAGACAGAUGUGAAAUCCCCGGGCUUAACCUGGGAACCGCAUAUGUGACU
rnacentral:rRNA from 1 species